rnacentral:ncRNA from 1 species
GAUGUGUUUUCAUAACAUAUGUAGACAUACAUGGCCGUUCUUAGUUUUGAGGUGAUUUGUCUGGUUAAUUCUGAUAACGAACGAGACGUUGAUCUGCUAAAUAGUAGGCUGGUCCACUGUGCUCGUUUGAGGCUAUUGCUUUUGUAUGGAGUAGUGUGGUCAUGAUCCAACAGAUGCGGUGCCGGCUUUCACUACUCAGAGGGACAAGUGGCACACGAAAUUGAACAACAACAGAUUCCUGAUACCCUCAGAUAUCCUGGGCUACACGUGCGCUACAAUGACGGUGCCGAGAAGUCGUGAAUCCCGGUACAAAAGGGUGGGAAAACUGUUUCCUCACUAUCAUGACCGUGAUCAAGGAUCGCAAUUAUUCCCCGUGAACGAGGAGUUCCUGGUAAGUGAAAGUCAUGAGCUUGAACUAACUGCGUCUCUGCCCUUUGCACACACCUCACCUCGCUACUAACGAUUGAAUGGAUUAGUGAGGUCUUUGGAUUGGUGUCGUUGUAGUGGCUUUACCGCCCAACUGAGAAGAUGACCUAAUUUGACUAUUUAGAGGACGUCCAAGUUGUGAAAAAGAUUCCGAAGGUGAAGCUGCCUAGGGAUCAAUA